rnacentral:rRNA from 1 species
UACAGGGGGUGCAACCGUUGCUCGGAAUUAUUGGGCGUAAAGCGCGCGUAGGCGGCUACUUAAGUCGGAUGUGAAAGCCCUUGGCUCAACUGAGGAAGUGCACCCGAAACUGAGUGGCUUGAGUACUAAAGAGGGUCGCGGAAUUCCCGGUGUAGAGGUGAAAUUCGUAGAUAUCGGGAGGAACACCGGUGGCGAAGGCGGCGACCUGGGUAGAUACUGACGCUGAGGAGCGAAAGCGUGGGGAGCGAACAGG